UUAAGUUCAGCGGGUAGUCCUACCUGAUUUGAGGUCACAUUAAUGAUGAAUUGUCCAAGGACGGUUAGAAAGCUGAACUGCCCUCACAUUCAAUAGCAUAGAUAAUUAUCACGCCAAUGAACAGGUUGUUCUGCUAAUGCAUUUCAGGGGAGCUGAAUCAUUUAAGAGGCCAGCAAACCCCCACAUCCAAACAACUCAAA
rnacentral:misc_RNA from 1 species